CAACACAUUAGUUACCUAUGCUAUUUUUUAAAAAUGAAAAGCCAAAUUAUAAAUUUCUUUUCUGAUGACAGUUAACUAUAAUCUGCAGCAUGACAGCAUUUGAGCAAUGUCUGGUCUGUGAAACUGGCUUCCGUGAUUCUCAUAAAAGAGACUGCACUAUCAAUACCUUCCACAAAGCUGCUUCUGCUUAGGACCCAGACUCCACUAUGAAUGCUUCUGUCCCCCAGCUGGUUCCUGUUGAAUGCCAUCAGGAUGAUUCAGCCACCCACCAGGAACACCAGUAACAGCAAGUGCACGCACAGAAAUCUGCAAAACUUUCUUCUUUUGAUGCCAACACUAUUACUCUGGCAAAGUCAAAACCCUUUAUGGAUUUACCAGUUCAACUAAAUGUGACCUUGUUCCCCUCACAAAUACCAGCUCACUCUCAAAUAAACACAACUUCUGGCUGAUUAAAAUGCAACGUUCUUCCACAGUUGAGUGCACCCUGCAGUGAGUCCCUCCUCUGUGCUGUGUCUACAUUCUCUCCCUUUUUCAUUUUUUCACUGUUCAAUGAAACUUCAAAGGAUGAAUGAGAUCCAUAUACACUCAGAGUCCACCUUGUAUGUUGUCCUGCUUACUGCUGACCACAUGCAUUUAAAGUUAUGCCUCAAGUUGUUUUAUUGUUUCUAUUUUUAAGAAGUUUUCCAUUUCCACAGAAUGUGGUAAUAUGCCUUGAAAAACAGAAAUGUGUAGAUAAACUGUGCUGACCACAGACUUCAUUAAUACAUGAUUUCCAUGCCAUACUCUAGCCAGUUAAAAAUUCUAUACCUUCCUCCUUCAAAUCUAGACCAGAUUACAGACUUAAAGGAAGAAAAUGCCAAAGAUGACAGCUAGCUAUCAAAAAUGUUCUAGUGCCUCAUUUUCAGGUCUCCAAAGUAAAAUCUAAGGGCAUUCGACAAAGAUUCAGGUGCUCUCAAUAGCCAUGAAAAUAUAUGGCUGAAGAGGGAAUCUGUAAAUGUAAUGAAUACACAAUUGGCUUAUAACAGAUGCAACCAAAAUUAAAUUCAAGAUCUUGACCUACUCUUCAAAGUGAAAGUUUUUAGUUCAUGCUACAGAGAG
rnacentral:lncRNA from 1 species